rnacentral:rRNA from 1 species
GAUGAACGCUGGCGGCGUGCCUAACACAUGCAAGUCGAGCGGGAUCUUGCUAAAUGACGCUUCGGUUGAUUUUAGUAAGUGAGAGCGGCGGACGGGUGAGUAACGCGUAGGCAACCUGCCCUUUGCAGAGGGAUAGCCAUUGGAAACGAUGAUUAAAACCUCAUAAUGCCAGACUGAGACAUCUCUAACUGGCCAAAGAUUUAUCGGCAAAGGAUGGGCCUGCGUCUGAUUAGCUAGUUGGUGGGGUAACGGCCUACCAAGGCGACGAUCAGUAGCCGACCUGAGAGGGUGAUCGGCCACAUUGGAACUGAGACACGGUCCAAACUCCUACGGGAGGCAGCAGUGGGGAAUAUUGCACAAUGGGCGAAAGCCUGAUGCAGCAACGCCGCGUGAAGGAAGAAGGUCUUCGGAUCGUAAACUUCUGCCCUUAGGGAAGAUAAUGACGGUACCUUUGGAGGAGCCCGGCUAACUACGUG